GACGAACGCUGACGGCGUGCUUAACACAUGCAAGUCGAACGGUGAAGCGCCUUCCUUUUUGGUGGGUGUGGAUGAGUGGCGAACGGGUGAGUAACACGUGAGUAACCUGCCCCCUUCUUCUGGAUAACCGCAUGAAAGUGUGGCUAAUACGGGAUAUUCUGGGUCUGUCGCAUGAUGGGUCUGGGAAAGAUAUUGUUUCGGUGGGGGAUGGGCUCGCGGCCUAUCAGCUUGUUGGUGGGGUGAUGGCCUACCAAGGCGGUGACGGGUAGCCGGCCUGGGAGGGUGGCCGGUCACACUGGGACGGAGACACGGCCCAGACUCCUACGGGAGGCAGCAGUGGGGAAUAUUGCACAAUGGGCGCAAGCCUGAUGCAGCGACGCCGCGUGAGGGAUGGAGGCCUUCGGGUUGUGAACCUCUUUCGCCAGUGAAGCAGGCCUGCCUCGUUUGUGGGUGGGUUGACGGUAGCUGGAUAAGAAGCGCCGGCUAACUACGUG
rnacentral:rRNA from 1 species